AACUGAUGUUCUGAAAAUAUAUUAAUAGCAGGUACUACCGUUUCGUUGACAUAAGGUUUAAUGUCGAGAUUUCACGCGCUUUCAAGUAAUGCUAUUAAUUGAGACAAGCAUAUACAGAUAUUACUCUUGUACAUUUGUAAAAUCAUAUCCCCUGGAUUUUGUGCUCUUUGGUGGCCAAUUGCUGGAAUAGAACAGUUACUGUUCGUGGGAGCGAUGACUUGCUAAGCCUCAAAUGAAGAGAAACUCACAUACUUCAGAUUGGAAGUAACAUAGAAUACAACAAACAAAUACAACUAACAAACAGUUCGUUUUUCAGAGAUUACUUUCAUUAUUUAUUUAUUGUUGUGGAUAAAUUAAUAUGUGUUUCAAGUAAUGAAUUUUUAUUUAAAUGUACACAUUUCAGAAAUAAGGAACUGUGACAGGAGAAGCAAAUAAAGUGGUACAGCAUUGAUGCUCAAUUGAUAAGGGAAUAAAUGCACCUUAAAGCCUAAUGAAAAGAUGAAUGCACUUUAAUGAUUAAAAUAAACGAAUCACUUGUUGAGACAGGAAACACAGGAAAACUAUUAACUUGAAUUAAAGGGAUCAGUUUGUCGUUGAAUUUCACAUAGAAAUCACAGCAAUGAAGGAAGGUGAAAUAUUCAUAUCCAUGCGUGAUCGCGUUAUUUUCACUAUUUUUCAAUCACGAUCAGGUCGACCUUAGAUAUGAAUUAGAGAGCGUCAAAGCAUUGUUCAAGAAGCCACGAAAAUCCAAAACAAAUAGGGAAAAGCGGCUCGGAUUUGCAAAAACUGAUAUGGGCAGAAAUUCGUUUGGAGAAAACCAAACACCGAACUGCAAUCCAAAAAUCCUAGAGCAACUCUUAAGCACAGUAGCGGUAAUAUGAUGGUAUGGAGUUGCAUGGCGUACAAUGGUGUUAGAAAUCUUGUGUUUAUCGAUGAGAUGAUGAACGCGAUGAAUUAUAUCGAGGUGUUACGUCAUAAUUUAUCAGAAAGUGUAGCUAAGUUACGACUGAAUGAUACCUACUACUUUCAACAAGAAAACGACUCGAAGCACACCGCUAAAACAACUAGACUGGCUGUUGUGUAAUGUUCCCAAACAGUUAAUUACACCACCACAAUCCCCUAGCAUUAACCCAAUAGAAAAUUUAUAGUAUAUAUUGGAUUUAGAACUAAGAAAAUAAAAAUAAAAAAACAAAAAUAAUUUAGGAGUACUUCUGGAAAAAUAGGCAAAAAUAUUACAAGAAUGAACUAAACACCUGGUCGAAUUCAUACCAAGAACAAGGCUACAAACCUUUAUUGAUGUAAA